rnacentral:lncRNA from 1 species
UUAGACGGCCUGAGAUUCGUCCUUAUCCAUGCAGGGCAGUCGGGUAGGACAAUGAAGAGGUGGACUUCUGAAUUUGAGAGAAAUUGGUCUUAUCCCAGAGAAGUGAGGCCACCACCCACCUGCAAUAGCUUGGCUUCCUGGAUCCCUAAGCAAAGUCUCUGAAACGAUGCUUAAAUGAAGUGAGGUCAGAAAUCACCACCAUAAGAUGCCAACACAACUUUGAUGUUGAAAACUCGGCCAGGAGCGGUAGCUCAUGCCUAUAAUCUCAGCACUUUGAGAGGCCAAGGCGGG